rnacentral:rRNA from 1 species
CCCUCGAGAUGAGACCCCCCACUGGGGAAGCCAGGUAAGGUGUCCUGGAGAUGACAGGGUAGAUAGGCCGGAGGUGGAAGCCCCGAGAGGGGUGCAGCUGACCGGUACUAAUACACCGAGGCCUUGUCCUUA